UACGUAGGCAGCGAGCGUUGUUCGGAGUUACUGGGCGUAAAGCGUGCGUAGGCGGUGUCUUAAGUUUGUUGUGGAAUCUCCCGGCUUAACCGGGAGGGUGCGGCGAAUACUGAGAUGCUGGAGUGCGGGAGAGGUAAGCGGAAUUCCUGGUGUAGCGGUGAAAUGCGUAGAUAUCAGGAGGAACACCUGCGGUGUAGACGGCUUACUGGACCGUAACUGACGCUGAGGCACGAAAGCGUGGGUAGCAAACAGG
rnacentral:rRNA from 1 species